rnacentral:rRNA from 1 species
CAGGCCUAACACAUGCAAGUCGAACGAGACCUUCGGGUCUAGUGGCGCACGGGUGCGUAACGCGUGGGAAUCUACCCUUUGCUACGGAAUAACUCAGAGAAAUUUGUGCUAAUACCGUAUGAUGUCGAAAGACCAAAGAUUUAUCGGCAAAGGACGAGCCCGCGUAGGAUUAGCUAGUUGGUGUGGUAAAGGCGCACCAAGGCGACGAUCCUUAGCUGGUCUGAGAGGAUGAUCAGCCACACUGGGACUGAGACACGCCCCAGACUCCUACGGGAGGCAGCAGUGGGGAAUAUUGGACAAUGGGCGAAAGCCUGAUCCAGCAAUGCCGCGUGAGUGAUGAAGGCCUUAGGGUUGUAAAGCUCUUUUACCAGGGAUGAUAAUGACAGUACCUGGAGAAUAAGCUCCGGCUAACUCCGUGCCAGCAGCCGCGGUAAU